GAUGAACGCUAGCGGCAGGCCUAACACAUGCAAGUCGAGGGAGAAGCCCUUUCGGGGGCAGAAACCGGCGCACGGGUGCGUAACGCGUAUGCAACCUACCUUUCACAGGGGGAUAGCCCGAAGAAAUUUGGAUUAAUACCCCAUAAUAUUAUUGGAUGGCAUCAUUUGAUAAUUAAAACUGCGGUGGUGAAAGAUGGGCAUGCGUCCUAUUAGCUAGUUGGAGUGGUAACGGCACCCCAAGGCUACGAUAGGUAGGGGUCCUGAGAGGGAGAUCCCCCACACUGCUACUGAGACAGGGACCAGACUCCUACGGGAGGCAGCAGUGAGGAAUAUUGGUCAAUGGUCGGAAGACUGAACCAGCCAUGCCGCGUGCAGGAAGAAUGCCUUAUGGGUUGUAAACUGCUUUUAUAUGGGAAGAAUAAGGCGUACGUGUACGUUGAUGACGGUACCAUAUGAAUAAGCAUCGGCUAACUCCGUG
rnacentral:rRNA from 1 species